rnacentral:rRNA from 1 species
GGCUUUUUGGUGAUGAUUUAAAGUCUGACCUGCCCUAUGAUGUUUAAAUGGCUGCGGUAUUUUGACCGUACAAAGGUAGCAUAAUCAUUAGUUUCUUAAUUAGAAACUCGUAUGAAUGGUUUGAUGAGAAAAACUCUGUCUCUAUUUAAAUUUUAAAGAAUUUUAUUUUUAAGUUAAAAAGCUUAAAUUUUGUUAAAAGACGAGAAGACCCUUUAGAGUUUAAUAAUUUUUACUUGGUUAAUAAUUUUAAGUAUUAUUUAUUUUAGAUGGCAAGAAUUAUUUUGUUGGGGUGAUAGAAAAAUUUAUUAAACUUUUUCUUUUUAAAUACAUUUUUUUAUGAAUAACUGAUCCAGUUGAAUGAUUAUAAGAUUAAAUUACCUUAGGGAUAACAGCGUUAUUUUUUUGGAGAGUUCUUAUCGAUAAAAAAGUUUGCGACCUCGAUGUUGGAUUAAAAUUUACUAUUGGCGCAGAAGUUGAUUAGUUAGGUCUGUUCGACCUUUAAAAUUUUACGUGAUCUGA